GAUGAACGCUGGCGGCGUGCCUAAUACAUGCAAGUCGAGCGAAGCGGGGACGGGUGAGUAACACGUGGAUGACCUCCUAUAAGGCUGGGAUAACUUCGGGAAACCGGAGCCAAACCGGAUACUUAGAGAUAGAUACGAGGUGCAUUAGCUAGUUGGUAAGGUAACGGCUAACCAAGGCAACGAUGCGUAGACGACCUGAGAGGGUGAUCGGCCACACUGGAACUGAGACACGGUCCAGACUCCUACGGGAGGCAGCAGUAGGGAAUCUUCCGCAAUGGGCGAAAGCCUGACGGAGCAACGCCGCGUGAGUGAUGAAGGUCUUCGGAUCGUAAAACUCUGUUAUUAGGGAAGCGGUACCUAAUCAUAAAGCCACGGCUAACUACGUGCCAGCAGCCGCGGUAAUAC
rnacentral:rRNA from 1 species